GAAGGCAUGUCCUUCGAGAUCGAUUUUAGGAGUAGGUCUCAAACCGCCCUACGCUGCUGUGAUAAGGAGCCGGGGUAGGUUGGAUUGAAUGAAAUGAAACCCAACGAAUUUCAACGU
rfam:Candidatus Brocadia fulgida BROFTL_contig000237, whole genome shotgun sequence.